rnacentral:tRNA from 1 species
CAUUAAGAAGCUAUAAAGCAUUAACCUUUUAAGUUAAAGACUGGGAG